rnacentral:rRNA from 1 species
AUGCUUAACACAUGCAAGUCGAACGAAGUAGCAAUACUUAGUGGCAAACGGGUGAGUAACACGUAGUCAACCUACCUUUAAGUGGGGGAUAACUAGCCGAAAGGUUAGCUAAUACCGCAUGUGAUCUCCGAGUGGCAUCACUUGGCGAUCAAAGCAGCAAUGCGCUUAGAGACGGGACUGCGUCCCAUUAGCUAGUUGGUGGGGUAAUGGCCUACCAAGGCUCCGAUGGGUAGCUGGCUUGAGAGAGCGACCAGCCACACUGGAACUGAGACACGGUCCAGACUCCUACGGGAGGCAGCAGUGAGGAAUUUUCCGCAAUGGGGGCAACCCUGACGGAGCGACGCCGCGUGUGGGAAGAAGGCCUUCGGGUCGUAAACCACUGUCGAAGGGGACGAUAUUGACGGUACCCUUGGAGGAAGCCCCGGCUAACUACGUGCCAGCAGCCGCGGUAAGACGUAGGGGGCAAGCGUUGUCCGGAAUCAUUGGGCGUAAAGCGCUCGUAGGCGGACUUUUAAGUCGGCGAAGAAAGACCUGGGCUCAACUCAGGGAACGGCGUCGAUACUAUUGGUCUUGAGGUAAUUAGAGGAUGAUGGAAUUCCCGGUGUAGCGGUGAAAUGCGUAGAUAUCGGAAGGAACACCAGUGG